AUUGAACGCUGGCGGCAGGCCUAACACAUGCAAGUCGAACGAGUGGCGGACGGGUGAGUAAUGUCUGGGAAACUGCCUGAUGGAGGGGGAUAUCUACUGGAAACGGUAGAUAAUACCGCAUACCAUCGGGUGUGACCAGAUGGGAUUAGUUAGUAGGUGGGGUAAAGGCUCACCUAGGCGACGAUCCAGAGCUGGUCUGAGAGGAUGACCAGCCACACUAGAGCUGAGACACGGUCCAGAAUCCUACUGGAGCCAGCAGUGGCGAAUAUUUCUGAAUGGGCGCGAGUCUGAUGCAGCCAUGCCGCGUGUAUGAAGAAGGCCUUCGGAUUGUAAAGUACUUUCAUCGGUGAGGCGUUACCUGUAGAAGGAGCACCGGCUAACUCCGUGCCAGCAGCCGCGGUAAGUG
rnacentral:rRNA from 1 species